UACGGAGGGUGCAAGCGUUGUCCGGAUUUAUUGGGUUUAAAGGGUGCGUAGGUGGGGACUCAAGUCUGGUUUGAAAGUCGGCGGCUUAACCGUUGGAUGUGGCUGGAAACUGGGUUUCUUGAAUGGGUUGGCGGUAGCCGGAACGGGUCAUGUAGCGGUGAAAUGCAUAGAUAUGACCCAGAACACCGAUUGCGAAGGCAGGCUACUACGACCUGAUUGACACUGAGGCACGAGAGCAUGGGGAGCGAACAGG
rnacentral:rRNA from 1 species